rnacentral:rRNA from 1 species
GACGAACGCUGGCGGCGUGCUUAACACAUGCAAGUCGAGCGAGACCCAUCUUUCGGGGUGGUGUUCUAGCGGCGAACGGGUGAGUAACACGUGGGCAACCUGCCCUCAGCUCUGGGAUAACUCCAAGAAAUUGGGGCUAAUACCGGAUAUGACUGCUGACCGCAUGGUCUGGUGGUGGAAAGAUUUAUCGGCUGGGGAUGGGCCCGCGGCCUAUCAGCUUGUUGGUGGGAGUGGCCACCAAGGCGACGACGGGUAGCCGGCCUGAGAGGGUGACCGGCCACACUGGGACUGAGACACGGCCCAGACUCCUACGGGAGGCAGCAGUGGGGAAGUAAUUGCGCAAAUGGGCGGGAAAGCCUGACGCAGCGACGCCGCGUUGGGGAGU